rnacentral:rRNA from 2 species
CCUAACACAUGCAAGUCGCACGAGAGGCUCUUCGGAGUAGUAAAGUGGCGCACGGGUGAGUAAUACAUGGGCAAUCUGCCUUUGAGAGGGGAAUAACCAGCCGAAAGGCUUGCUAAUACCCCAUACGCUUCCGGUCCCUCGGGUAAGGAAGGAAAGCUGCAUCGUGGAUGUGGCGCUCGAAGAUGGGCCCAUGGCCUAUCAGCUUGUUGGUAGGGUAACGGCCUACCAAGGCUACGACGGGUAGCUGGUCUGAGAGGACGAUCAGCCACACUGGCACUGAGAUACGGGCCAGACUCCUACGGGAGGCAGCAGUGAGGAAUAUUGCGCAAUGGGCGAAAGCCUGACGCAGCGACGCCGCGUGGGGGAAGAAGGUUCUCGGAUUGUAAACCCCUUUUAGGAGGAAAGAUGGGGUGGGAAACCACCCGGACGGUACCUCCAGAAAAAGCCACGGCUAACUUCGUGCCAGCAGCCGCGGUAAUACGAAGGUG